rnacentral:rRNA from 1 species
GAUGAACGCUGGCGGCGUGCCUAAUACAUGCAAGUCGAGCGAAUGGACGAGACGUUCGCUUCUCUGCUGUUAGCGGCGGACGGGUGAGUACCACGUGGAUACCUUAUCUAUAAGACUGGCAUCACUUCGGGAACCCGGAUCUCACACCGGAUCAUAUUUUGAACCGCAUGGUUCAUAAGAGAAAGACGUUUCUGCUGUCACUUAUAGAUGGAUCCUCGCUGCAUUAGCUAGUUGGUAGGGUAACGGCUUACCAAGGCUACGAUGCGUAGCCGACCUGAGAGGAUGAUCAGCCACACUGGAACUGAGACACGGUCCAGACUCCUACGGGAGGCAGCAGUGGGGAAUAUUCGACAAUGGGCGAAAGCCUGACCGAGCAACGCCGCGUGAGUGAAGAAGGUCUUCGGAUCGUAAAGCUCUGUUAUUAGGGAGGAAGAUAAGUAUGAGUAUACCUGCACGUCUUGACGGUACCUAAACAGAAAGCCCCGGCUAACUACGUG